rfam:Danio rerio chromosome 9, GRCz11 reference primary assembly.
GCCCCAGUGGCCUAAUGGAUAAGGCACUGGCCUCCUAAGCCAGGGGUUGUGGGUUCGAGUCCCAUGUGGGGUG